GCAAUGUUUUAAAUAAAUUAGUUGUGAAAGGUGCUACAUUACGUUGCUAACUGCAAUUGCCAACGGUAUUAACAACACAAUAAGCUGGCGUCUCAACUCAGCUUCAUAUUGGCUAACCCUACUCUCAAGUGCUCCCUUCAAUCCAUCAAUCACUUACUAUAGUUUGGACUCAGCACCCGUUCACACGGGGGUUGUUAAGGACAAUUACUUGCAUGGAUUACGGUGGCAAUCAUGUAUUGCGAACUGCCUCGGGCAGUCAACCCGCAGUCAUUGGUAUCGAUAGAUCCAUGUCGAUAAUUAACAUGCUUCGUUUUCCUCUGUGCAAUUAGGAUGCUUAUCUGCUAGGAAGGCGAGCUUAGAAUAAGCGUCUAGAGCAUAGUUGUCUGUAGAUCUUGCAGAUCGAGUCUCUAGAAGCAUUUGAGCAAUUUUUUUAUUUAAAUCUGAGUUGUCGGAACGGAAUAUUUGACUUGAUGUUAUCUGUAAUAAUUUGUUUGCUAUUUAAGGUACGGUGUGGGACGUAUUAUAUAAAUUGAAUAGUAAUAAUAAUUGU
rnacentral:lncRNA from 1 species